rnacentral:rRNA from 1 species
UGGUAAUGCCGGAUGCUCCGGUUGGAUGCAUGUCCUUCCGGGAAAGAUCCAUCGGUAUGGGAUGGGGUCGCGUCCUAUCAGCUUGAUGGCGGGGUAACGGCCCACCAUGGCUUCGACGGGUAGCCGGCCUGAGAGGGCGACCGGCCACAUUGGGACUGAGAUACGGCCCAGACUCCUACGGGAGGCAGCAGUGGGGAAUAUUGCACAAUGGGCGCAAGCCUGAUGCAGCGACGCCGCGUGCGGGAUGGAGGCCUUCGGGUUGUAAACCGCUUUUGAUCGGGAGCAAGCCCUUCGGGGUGAGUGUACCUUUCGAAUAAGCACCGGCUAACUACGUGCCAGCAGCCGCGGUAAUACGUAGGGUGCAAGCGUUAUCCGGAAUUAUUGGGCGUAAAGGGCUCGUAGGCGGUUCGUCGCGUCCGGUGUGAAAGCCCAUCGCUUAACGGUGGGUCUGCGCCGGGUACGGGCGGGCUGGAGUGCGGUAGGGGAGACUGGAAUUCCCGGUGUAACGGUGGAAUGUGUAGAUAUCG